GCGGAUGUGGCGGAAUUGGUAUACGCGCACGUUUGAGGGGCGUGUGGCUUGCGCCUUGCGAGUUCGAGUCUCGCCAUCCGCAUCA
rnacentral:tRNA from 1 species